rfam:Cellulomonas bogoriensis 69B4 = DSM 16987 strain 69B4 contig50, whole genome shotgun sequence.
AGCGAAAAGGGCAAACCCACCGCGAGGUGGGGACGCAAAGCCACGGGACCCUCGAGGUCGGCCGGGCUCACCGAAC